CAAUAGCGUAUAUUAAAGUUGUUGCAGUUAAAAAGCUCGUAGUUGGAUUUCUGGUUUGAUGCCCUGGCCCGCUGCCAUUUUGGUAGUGUGUGCCGGUUGUGCGUCUGCCAUCCUUCUAGGGAACGUUCCUUCUCUUCACUGAGCCGGGUUCGUGAUCUAGAUCGUUUACUUUGAAAAAUUAGAGUGUUUAAAGCAGGCUUUUGCUAUGAAUACAUUAGCAUGGAAUAAUAAUCUAGGACUUCGGUGCUAUUUUGUUGGUUUCUGGAACUGAAGUAAUGAUUGAUAGGGAUAGUUGGGGGUGGCUAGUAUUGAGCGGCCAGAGGUGGAAAUUACUUGGAUUUGUUAAAGACGGACUACUGCGAAAGCAUUUGUCCAAGGAUGUUUUCAUUGAUCAAGAACGAAAGUUAGGGGAUCGAAGAUGAUCAGAUACCGU
rnacentral:rRNA from 1 species